CCCGAAAAGGAGGAAAGGAUUUGGGGCGGGCAGUCCUGGAGCCUCUCGCUGGCCUUACGGAGAGGGCUGGGGUGGAGGAGAGCCCUGGGGAGCAGGCAGAGGUGGGUUGGCGAGGACCUUGUGUGACUUGUGCCGAGAAACUUCACUUAUUCCCUGGGGCUGGCAGUUGCCAAACUGGGUCUUGUAGAUGCUAAGUCUCCGUAGAGGUCUCUUAGUUUGGUGACAAGGAUGGGACACCUUGAGUGAGCCUUUCCACUGGGCAAAUUGGAGGAUGUGUAGCCAUCUUCGGUGAGACAAGAGGCCCUGUUUGCUGAAGUCUUUCUUCAACACUUUGACUCAGACAUUCUCUCUGGGACCCCUGAGCCCAUCUAACCUCCAGUCCGUCCAUCAACUGAUUACUGCUCAGUCACCUCAGACGAUACCACUGGGGGCCGGAGAACUGCCUGGCUGAGCCCUGCCUGAAUGCCUGACUCAUAACUCAUGGUGCAGGCACUGAGACAUCAAAGCAGCCAAGUGCCACCCUGACGUUGAGCCCGCCGAGUGCUGCGAGGCUGCUGCUGUUGGCUCUGCGUGAUCAGGAGAGCGGAGAUCAAAGGUGCCCAUUAUGUGCUGAAAUACCUGAAGUUGGAAAACACCACAAGAAAGCCAUGGUCAGCCUGGAGAGAGGACCCUGCCAGCUGCACACCCAGGGAGGACUGCUCAGGCAGCUCCACAUGCUGCCAGCCUUGCGUGAAAGGUGAGCUUGCGAUUUCCAGUUACAGAAGGUGCCACUUCAUGUUGCGACCCCGGGUGGCCCCAGUCACCCAGUAUCCUCCCUUGAGGCCCGUGCAGGCUCCACUCCCAUCACUGGGCACUUCCUCUUGCCUCCACCUGGCCAGCUCCUCACGUCCCUCGG